GAAGGUGGGUGGAAACACACGGGAUGGGGAGGUGUUGGGACCAGGUGAAGGUGGAUGGAAACACACGGGUUGGGAAGGUGUUGGGACCAGGUGAAGGUGGGUGGAAUACACGGGUUGGGAAGGUGUUGGGACCAGGUGAAGGUGGGUGGAAACACACGGGUUGGGGAGGUGUUGGGACCAGGUGAAGGUGGAUGGAAACACACGGGUUGGGGAGGUGUUGGGACCAGGUGAAGGUGGAUGGAAACACACGGGUUGGGGAGGUGUUGGGACCAGGUGAAGGUGGAUGGAAACACAUGGGUUGGGGAGGUGUUGGGACCAGGUGAAGGUGGGUGGAAACACACUGGUUGGGACCAGGUGAAGGUGGAUGGCAACACACGGG